UACGAAGGGGGCUAGCGUUGUUCGGAUUUACUGGGCGUAAAGCGCACGUAGGCGGAUCUUUAAGUCAGGGGUGAAAUCCCGAGGCUCAACCUCGGAACUGCCUUUGAUACUGGGGAUCUCGAGUCCGGGAGAGGUGAGUGGAACUGCGAGUGUAGAGGUGAAAUUCGUAGAUAUUAGGAGGAACACCGGUGGCGAAGGCGGCUAUCUGGACGACAACUGACGCUGAGGCGCGAAAGCACGGGGAUCAAACAGG
rnacentral:rRNA from 1 species